rnacentral:rRNA from 1 species
AUGAUAAUUGAUGAUCAUGCUGAGACACAUCAAAAGCAGUUGUCUCCAAUAGAAGGAAUUAAGCUCAGGCGACCUCAAUUUGUUCCUUGCAUUCCAACUGCAAUGGACAAGGUUGUCGUGGUCGACUCUCACACAUCACUUUCUUCUAGAGACCUGCAAUCAGCACUGGUGAAAAUAUCCCUUCCGCAUUCUGAUAUGACCACUAAAAUUCCAGCGGAAGAUAGUAAGGAUGAUUUAGCUAUUGGAAGUUCAUUCGAGGAUAUGAGCCCAAUUAACAAAAGAAUUCUAGUUCGACACCCUGAAGAACGCGUUUCAGACCAAAAUGCAGGUAUGAGUUCAUCAUCCCGUCAUUUGCCCUCUGCCACUCCAUUUGAACCAACUCCAGAUAUUUUAUUGUCAAAACCAAUUGUCAUAUCAACUUUCCAAGACAAGGCCGAGUGCAGGCCGGAGGUUGAACAUAUAAUUUCUUGUCAAGUUCAAGCAUCAAGGGAUCCAUCUGAGAUGUUGAGCCACUCUCAUGCUAGUUCGGAAGAGUCAGAAAACUUGCUAAACAGAAGGCUCACUACAAGCUCUAAUGGAAUAUCAGGUGGAAGAUUAAGGACCCAACAAGAAGAAAGACCAUGUGUUAGAACUCCUCGUAAGAGUGUAGUUCCGAAGCAAUCACCGAAUAACCACACUCCUAACUUCCGGUGACCUCUCCUGAGAAAGCUGAUGACAAACUAGUUCUAUGCCAGUACAAGGGGUGAUUUAGAUGGCAAACAACUCAUCAUAGGUGAAAUGGCCAAUAGCAUGGAUGUGCCCUCAUCUCUCACAAGGGCACUUUCUUUAGGCCUUAACCCCAAGUCAGAUUGGAUGAUGAGGGUAUAUGCAUUCAAUUUCUUACGACAACACUUGCAGGAGCGAGGACUGAAAGGCAUUCAGGAGGUUGCAUAAAAUUUUGAGAAGGUUAUGAGGCUUGUUAGUCAGUAUUUGGAUGAUCCACAUCAUAAAGUGGCGCAUGCUGCUCUCUCAUCACUUGCUGAGAUUAUGCCAGUUUUCAAGAAGCCUUUUGAACAUUAUCUGGACAAGAUGCUACCCCAUGUUUUCUCUCGAUUAAAUGAUCCAAAGGAGUCAACCAAGCAGCAGUGCUUAGCAGUUUUGAAACUUGCAGGUGAAAGUUACUCCAUUGAUUCUCUCUUACCUGCUCUGCUUCGUUCGCUAGACGAGCAAAAAUCCUUCAAGUCAAAGCUUUCAAUUCUUGACUUUGCCAAGGCCUCUUUUGUGAAAUGCACAGUUAGUUCUGACAUCUAUUCUGGUAGUACUUUUCUUAAGCCGUGGCUUGGGAAGCUAACUCUUCUGUUCAAGGAUAGAAACAAGAAGCUGAAAGAGGCUGCAGUGGUUGGUUUAUCUUCAGUCUAUUGCCAUUAUGAUCCGGAAACCAUGUUAAGCUUUAUAGUUACCUUGUCAAUGGAAGAACAGAAGCAACUUACGCGGGCAAUAAAGCAGUUAAUCCCCAUGAUAGGGAGCGACCUGGAAGAGUUCUUGCAGUAAAGGAGACAUAAACAGAAAGUGCCAUCUUUUGAUCGCUUUGCUGCUACAGAUCCUCAUCCCAGAAGUUAUGUCGUCGGAAGGCAACAUAAAUCCCAGCAGCAUGACACAUAUCAGUCUAGUGAUGUCAAAGGUGAUCAAGUAUUUAGCUCCGCAUUUCAGUAUCUCCCAAACACUCACUUGGAAGUCUAUGGGCCUCGUACCAUGAAGGUUCAAUCUGAAUUGGGUGGUGAAUCUUAUGGUCACAGAGAUGAAAUGAUGGGUAAAAAGUUUAGUCACGCAAGGCGAAGAAAGGAUAUGAUGAUGAAUGGUAGUCAGAGCCAUGAGCCAAGCAUGUCCCAGAUGCAUCAUCAGGAAAUGAGGAGUGUUUCUGCGACAAAUGGCCAUUCAGCGCCAAUCAAGAAUUUACAUCAGAUGUCCUCUCUCCUUGAGAUGCUUGAUGACCCAACUGAAUCCACUAGAGAGCUUGCACUUUGUCUAUUGGUUGGAAUUCUCGAAAAACAAGUAAGAGUUUCUUUUUUUGGUGGGAACAUAAUUAUUUCUGAACUACCAAAUAGUGAGUAUUUGUUCCAUUGA